rnacentral:rRNA from 1 species
AUGGCGAAUGACUCCUUGACAAGGGCGCAUAUAGUUGGAGAUGUUUUGGACCCAUUUGCUAGCUCAGUGCCUCUAACUGUGAUGUAUGAUGGGAGGCCUGUGUUUAAUGGCAUGGAGUUGUGGUCACCGUCAGUCUCUCUAAAACCUAGAGUUGAUAUCGGCGGUGAUGAUUUUCGUGUUGCCUAUACCCUAGUUAUGGUGGAUCCUGAUGCGCCUAAUCCCAGCAACCCGACACUGAGGGAGUACCUGCAUUGGAUGGUGACAGAUGUCCCAUCCUCAACAAACAAUAGCUUUGGCUAA